GAUGAACGCUGGCGGCGUGCCUAAUACAUGCAAGUCGAGCGAACAGACGAGGAGCUUGCUCCUCUGACGUUAGCGGCGGACGGGUGAGUAACACGUGGAUAACCUACCUAUAAGACUGGGAUAACUUCGGGAAACCGGAGCUAAUACCGGAUAAUAUAUUGAACCGCAUGGUUCAAUAGUGAAAGACGGUUUUGCUGUCACUUAUAGAUGGAUCCGCGCCGCAUUAGCUAGUUGGUAAGGUAACGGCUUACCAAGGCGACGAUGCGUAGCCGACCUGAGAGGGGGGUCGGCCACACGGGAACUGAGACACGGUCCAGACCCCUACGGGGGGCAGCAGGAGGGAAUCUUCCGCAAUGGGCGAAAGCCUGACGGAGCAACGCCGGGUGGGUGAUGAAGGUCUUCGGAUCGUAAAACCCUGUUAUUAGGGAAAAACAAAUGUGUAAGUAACUAUGCACGUCUUGACGGUACCUAAUCAGAAAGCCACGGCUAACUACGU
rnacentral:rRNA from 1 species